rnacentral:rRNA from 1 species
GACGAACGCUGGCGGCGUGCUUAACACAUGCAAGUCGAACGGAAAGGCCCUGCUUGCAGGGUGCUCGAGUGGCGAACGGGUGAGUAACACGUGGGUGAUCUGCCCCUUACUUUGGGAUAAGCCUGGGAAACUGGGUCUAAUACUGGAUAGGACCAUGCUGUAGGUGGUGUGGUGGAAAGAUUAGUUUCGGUAAGGGAUGAGCUCGCGGCCUAUCAGCUUGUUGGUGGGGUAAUGGCCUACCAAGGCGUCGACGGGUAGCCGGCCUGAGAGGGUGGACGGCCACAUUGGGACUGAGAGACGGCCCAGACGCCUACGGGAGGCAGCAGUGGGGAAUAGUGCACAAUGGGCGCAAGCCGGAUGCAGCGACGCCGCGUGGGGGAUGACGGCCUUCGGGUUGUAAACUCCUUUCAGCCAUGACGAAGCCCUUGUGGUGACGGUAGUGGUAGAAGAAGCACCGGCUAACUACGUG